AAUGUUCCAGCAGAUGGAUAGAUGGAGAAAACAAAACAAAGCAAUAUUAAUACGAAAUGGAAGUACCCUGAGCCGGUGUGGUCUGGCAUUUACUCUGCCUUUUCUACCAGGGCACCAUCUGCCUGAGAGCAGACCUGCCUGCAGCUGCCUGCA